AACGAACGCUGGCGGCAGGCUUAACACAUGCAAGUCGAACGCACCUUUCGGGGUGAGUGGCAGACGGGUGAGUAACGCGUGGGAAUCUACCCUUCUCUACGGGAUAGCUCCGGGAAACUGGAAUUAAUACCGUAUACGUCCUGAGGGAGAAAGAUUUAUCGUGGAAGGAUGAGCCCGCGUUGGAUUAGCUAGUUGGUGGGGUAAAGGCCUACCAAGGCGACGAUCCAUAGCUGGUCUAAGAGGAUGAUCAGCCACAUUGGGACUGAGACACGGCCCAAACUCCGACGGGAGGCAGCAGGGGGGAAUAUUGGACAAUGGGCGCAAGCCUGAUCCAGCCAGGCCGCGUGAGUGAUGAAGGCCCUAGGGUUGUAAAGCUCUUUCAGUGGGGACGAUAAUGACGGUACCCACAGAAGAAGCCCCGGCUAACUUCGU
rnacentral:rRNA from 1 species